rnacentral:rRNA from 1 species
UACAGAGGGGGCAAGCGUUGUUCGGAAUUAUUGGGCGUAAAGGGCGCGUAGGCGGCCGCGUAUGUCCGGUGUGAAAGCCCACCUCUUAAAGGUGGAAUUGCAUCGGAAACUACGUGGCUGGAGUGUCGGAGAGGAUGGUGGAAUUCCUGGUGUAGAGGUGAAAUUCGUAGAUAUCAGGAGGAACACCGGUGGUGUAGACGGCUUACUGGACCAUAACUGACGCUGAGACACGAAAGCGUGGGUAGCAAACAGG